AGUGAACGCUGGCGGUAGGCCUAACACAUGCAAGUCGAACGGCAGCACAGUAAGAGCUUGCUCUUACGGGUGGCGAGUGGCGGACGGGUGAGGAAUACAUCGGAAUCUACUUUUUCGUGGGGGAUAACGUAGGGAAACUUACGCUAAUACCGCAUACGACCUACGGGUGAAAGCAGGGGAUCUUCGGACCUUGCGCGAUUGAAUGAGCCGAUGUCGGAUUAGCUAGUUGGCGGGGUAAAGGCCCACCAAGGCGACGAUCCGUAGCUGGUCUGAGAGGAUGAUCAGCCACACUGGAACUGAGACACGGUCCAGACUCCUACGGGAGGCAGCAGUGGGGAAUCUUCGACAAUGGGCGAAAGCCUGAUCCAGCCACACCGCGUGAGUGAAGAAGGUCUUCGGGUUGUAAAGCCCUUUUGUUAGGAAAGAAAAGCAGUAGGUUUAUCCCUCGCUGUUCUGACGGUACCCAAAGAAUAAGCACCGGCUAACUUCGUG
rnacentral:rRNA from 1 species